UCCUUCAGCCAGGGGAUGUCUGCAGAUGGGAUGCCAUUGGAUUCUUCCCACAGCCACACCCAGCCUUUCAGCUCCACCUGCAACACAUCACAUUUAAAUAGUCACUCUGUGGCAAGGUGGUGGCAGACGCAGUCUGGCUGUUGGAGGUCGAUGAUGGCUCCUCUGGGCGAGCAUCAGGGGGAGACUAACCAGCCUUGCUGGUGGAGGACAGCAGGGGCUUCUUGUGCUUGCUGCGCUUUGCCUUCUUGCUCGUUACGCAAAGGAGUCUGUUCAGGAUGCUCUGCAGUUGCUGGCACGCUGGUGGAGAGCGGCAGCUGUUCGGGACUCCUGACAAACACAGGCUGGCUGGUGGAGAUGGGCAAGAAGACUGUGUCGUCCAGAGCGUCAUUGGACCAUGACAACUGGGAGGUGGCAGCGGCUGCAGGGAAGCUUGAUUUAUUUAACCAUUAUUUAUUUAACACACCACACUUCUUACCAACUUUAUUUACAUUUCCUUGCAUUUGUACAUACAUACCUGUACAUACGAUCUUGUAUUUUGUCUUUUUAAAAUAUAUAUUUUCUUUUUUUAAUCUAUUUUUUGCAUAUUGUGUAUUUUAUUAAUUCUAAUUGUAUUAUUUUUAUUGUCUGUAUCCUGUCACACUUAUUCUGUGCUGUAGAAGCUCACCAAAACAAAUUCCUUGUAUGUGCAAACAUACCUGGCAAUAAAGCUCUGACUGAUCCUGGUUCUCUUCUUGAAGAGCUGGAAGUGGCGGCAGGAAGAUUGGAAUCUGGUGGAGGCUUCUGUGAAUUACAGGGAAGUUUUAGCUUUGAGGUGCACAUUUUUUGUUUGGAUAAAAGCUCACAGAAACUAAAACCAGAUGUAUGCAGCUUUGCCAGGCGUGCAGCACCAGCGUAAACCAGCUAAGACCACUCUUCUAAGCUUUCAGCCUGGUAAAGCUGGUUUUUCGAUCUGAACAGCUAUAAGUGGACUCUAAAAACCUCUCUAAAACCAGCCUGCUACACCAGCUCAAACCAAACUGGGAGACCAGGUCAACUAGCUUAGGUCCACGUGCUCAUCUCCACUCAAACCUUUGCAGAGAAAUGAAACAGUGACUGCAAUAUUUUGGUAGUGGAAACAUUUUUUAAGAUCUUUUCCUCUCAUCUCAUUCAGUAUUUUGUCUACCACAAUGAACCUUUUUAGUCUCUGUGGUGGUUCUUCAUGUCAACAUGUCAAAUGUCCUUUAAUGUUUUUGGGAAUUAUAGUGUUUAGUGAAUUUAACCCUGCAGUAAACCCAGCAAUAUGUAACUCUGUUGAUGCUUUAACUGCUGUAAGGGAUGAGGGAUUAUAAUCUUACUUAAUGUCUGUUUUUGACUGACUGCCAGUGUUUAACUAUUUGAUAUGCGUGAAGGAUUUUGAGCAAUUAAAAAACCUUUUGUAUGUAUCAUGCAUUAAAAUAUAUGACCUU